rnacentral:lncRNA from 1 species
CUGGACAUUAGAGCACCGAGACAGCCGGAAAAGACAGGGAGCUCCAAACACAAUAAACGCCCCUACAACAGCAACCGCAAAAACGGAAGGAAAAACGCACUAAAGAACCCGACUCGAACCCUAAAGCCACCGAUCGCGCUCAGGCCCACACCCCUGGAGCCGCGGCCGCGCUUGUUUUAAGGAGCCUGACGGUUGAGCAAAUGAAGGUGUGGGAAGGUGUGGGGCAAAAUUAGCACAUGGUCAGGCUGAAAGCUCCACUGAGUUAAGGCAGACUAACUUUACCUGGAGAGCAGAUGCUAAUGGAAGGGAUCGCCACUGCGAUCCAGAUCGGUCGUACGACAGUCGCACAGAACCAACCUUCGAGGCUCCUGUCGCUACGCUCCGUCGCAUCUAAGCCAACCAAUGUUUGUCGAAGUUCACAAAGAGGUAACGUUAACUCGAAGAAUUCACGUUUGCAGCCUGUGAACAGGAUAUCGGUUUAGGGAAGGCGAUUGCCACCCAGGCGCUUGCGGGGUAUGGCAUCUAUAUAGGGCUAAUCGCAGCAUGAUGUGGCACGGCGCUUCGACUGGGCUCGCAGGGCAAGAUUGCUUUCGGGUUCACUCAGAACUGCCGCACCCUUUCGACAUUUGACGGACUUCGGGUAAGGGCAUCCUCGCU